AGUUUCCUGAGCAUCUCUGCCAGGCCUCCAGCAGCCCUGGAGCAAGACAGCAGGACAACACUGCUAAUAGCACCAGCAUUUGCCACCCAGCCUCCCUCUUCCACCUAGGCAUGCCAUCGGCAACCAUGACCGAAGUGUCGGAGGGAGGACUAACUUCUGGAAAUUGCCAGGACCCAGCCUGUAAUGAAAGAGGAUGGGAGACCUGAGAAGUGAGAUGCAGAUCUGGCCAGAGGAAGUAGGAGAACUGCUGGCCCACAGGUCACGUGCUUACCCCACACCAAUAACCGCUACCAGGGAAGACCAAGCUCUGAUGGGCUUACCCUGACCAGCUCCCACCUCCUGAGCUGGGGCUGGGUCUGCAGGGGAGCAGAUACCUGAACAAAAUUGGAGUUUUGAUAACAACAAAGAAAAUAUAAUUUUACUUAAAGUGAUCCAAGGGACACUGAGUCAGCCAUUCAUGAAGCGGAACAUGGUGAACGCCAAGGUGAAGAGCAGCCGCAUGAGAUCCUAAAGGAAAGCCCGGGAGUCACACAAGUGGAGUACAGCAGCAAACCCCUCCACCGCCUGCCCUUGACUUUGGUCUUGCCAGGGAACAGUUGAUGCCGACAAGAUGACGCAGCCGGGAAGUGAAUAUCCUGUCUGCUCCUUGUUCUGUGCUGUCUGUGUGUCCUAGCUUGCCACCCCAAAUCAAGGCAUCCCUUAAAAGCCCCUGGGUCCAAGCAUCCAGAUGCUCAGUGAACGCAGUGCUCUAACUCCAUCUUCCACCUUCCAUUAAGAAGGCAAUGACUCUCAUUCAAUGCAACUCCAUCUUCCGCUAACCCCUAAAAGGAAUUUACAUUCUGCUCAUUUCACUUCCCAUUAUAUUGUAUUAAUCUUCCCAUCAUUAAACCUUUUAAACCCAA